rnacentral:lncRNA from 1 species
UAUGCAAUUUCAUUACUUUCUAGCCAGGUUUAAAGUGCCGUGGCACGGAGGCGUGCCGUUAUGUCCCUGGCACGGUACGGCACAGGCACGCUUGCGUGCCGAUAGAUAUGCAUGAUCUUCUACUGACACGCUUUAGCACAGACUUAUUUAAUUUUUUUUAGUUCCAAUAAACUCUUAUAAUGUUAUUUUUGAAAGAUUUAAAUAAAUAAUUAUGAAUAUUUAUUAUGUAUACUUUACUAUACUCAUCAAUUAAUAUGCAUGUAAGCUAUUUGUAAGUAAAAUAUGACUAUACUUGAUAUAGAAUAGAAAUUAAAAUACAAUAAUAAAAUCCACAAGUAUAAUAAUUAUUUAAAUUUACAUCUUUACAUAAAGAUGACUGUUUAAUUCGACAUAAAUCGUCGCGCUUGAUCAUAUGGUAUAUUAUCAUCUGCAGAUACAAGAUUUAUUUUGAAAAUGUUUAUAUAAAUAUUGCUGGUAUUUGUAAGAAAGUUAUAUAUUCCCGAUAUUACAUCCAUAUUUUUUUAUUUUGUUGUUCUUUUUAAAAAUAUCUGAUCAAAAUUUGUUUAGGAGAUCGCUUUUUGUUAUCUUGAUUCACCAAAAGCUUCGUGGUGCGACAAUUUUUGACAAAAUAUUUUGCGAAGAAAAAUGGAUGUCUGUGGUGGAAGCGAAUGGCUCGGGCCGACCACUGACAUCUGAGGGGGGUGCGGGGGGCUUCGCCCCCGCGGUAUAGAUCAAAUAUGUCAAUUAAAAAUUUGCUCAUAUAUUGAUAAAUAAAAAGUAAAAAAAAGGCAUCCACCAAAAAGCAAAAUAAAAGUUGAAAAAAAGAUAACAAAGUGAAAAAAAUACAAUAUAGAUGGUCCGGCCGGGG